GCGCUUUUUUUUAGGCGCCGGCCAGCACAAACCAUCAUAUGAACGAAUGAGACAGUGAGAGUUCAAGAAGCCAUAGUAAUCUCAGACAUUUUCGGGUUGAUGGCGGCGGGCGAUGCUGAGCCUCCACGGCCCCAUGAGCGCGGAACUCCAAAUCAGUGAUUAAAAAGACGGGUGGUCCUGGAUCCCAUGGCCCCUCACCCGACUCUUCCGUAGGUGAACCUGCGGAAGGAUCAUUACCGAGUGAGGGCCCUCUGGGUCCAACCUCCCACCCGUGUUUAUUUACCUUAUUGCUUCGGCGGGCCCGCCUUCACUGGCCGCCGGGGGGCUCACGCCCCCGGGCCCGCGCCCGCCGAAGACACCCCGAACUCUGUCUGAAGAAUGAAGUCUGAGUGAAAAUAUAAAUUAUUUAAAACUUUCAACAACGGAUCUCUUGGUUCCGGCAUCGAUGAAGAACGCAGCGAAAUGCGAUACGUAAUGUGAAUUGCAAAUUCAGUGAAUCAUCGAGUCUUUGAACGCACAUUGCGCCCCCUGGUAUUCCGGGGGGCAUGCCUGUCCGAGCGUCAUUGCUGCCCUCAAGCCCGGCUUGUGUGUUGGGCCUCGUCCUCCGAUUCCGGGGGACGGGCCCGAAAGGCAGCGGCGGCACCGCGUCCGGUCCUCGAGCGUAUGGGGCUCUGUCACCCGCUCUGUAGGCCCGGCCGGCGCUUGCCGAUCAACCCAAAUUUUUAUCCAGGUGACCUCGAUCAGGUAGGAGCCCAAUCU
rnacentral:rRNA from 1 species